rnacentral:rRNA from 1 species
AGUGAACGCUGGCGGCAGGCCUAACACAUGCAAGUCGAACGGUAGCACAGUAAGAGCUUUCUCUUACGGGUGGCGAGUGGCGGACGGGUGAGGUAUACAUCGGAAUCUACUUUUUCGUGGGGGGUAACGUAGGGAAACUUACGCUAAUACCGCAUACGACCUACGGGGGAAAGCAGGGGAUCUUCGGACCUUGCGCGAUUGAAUGAGCCGGUGUCGGAUUAGCUAGUUGGCGGGGUAAAGGCCCACCAAGGCGGCGAUGCGUAGCUGGUGUGAGCGGAUGAACAGCCACUCUGGAACUGAGACGCGGUCCAGGGUCCUACAGAAGGCAGCAGUGGGGAAUAUUGGACGAUGGGCGGAAGCCUGAUCCAGCGGUACCGCGUGGGUGAAGAAGGCCUUAGGGUUGUAAAGCCCUUUUGUUGGGGAAGAACAGCAGCAGGUUAAUCCCCCGCUGUUCUGACGGUACCCAAAGAAUAAGCACCGGCUAACUUCGUG